GCUCCCCUAUCGGGUUCGUGAGUGAGAAUAAUUCUUACCUACGCUUUCUUAUUCGGGCGCUUUCUCUUGUCGCGGUGUGCAUGCCUGCUUCGCCAGGAAGCCUAAAGCGGCAAUAAGGUGCCCCCCUAUCGAGGAUAGGGUUAAGAAUUAUCCGACCACGGCCCAUUGAUGGGGGAGUG
rnacentral:other from 1 species